rnacentral:lncRNA from 1 species
CUCAGAGUAGAUAAAUAGCCUGUUCGAUAAUCUCUCUCAAAUAUGAGCUAUUUUAAAUAGACUUCAGUGGAUAUCCUAUGUAUGUAUGCACUGUGCCUGGUGUGCCAGGUAUUGGGCAUGUAACGAUUGGAAAACUUACAUUCUGCCUUCAAGGAACUUAAAAUCAGCCUGAGCACCUGCCAGUAUGCUGUAAUCAGACACACCACUUGAAUUUAUCCAAAGAUUAAAAAGAAGGAAGAAAUAAAGCAGAAAGAUAACUGCAGGUCAUGACAGAAUCAGCUGAUAAAAUACGCCUUGGAAGAAAAAUCUGUGAUUUAGGAAAAAGCUGGUAUUACAAUAAUUUCUUUUCAUAAUCUGACCUGACUGCACCCCUUGGAGCACAUUCCAUCUCUCAUGCAAUCAGCAGUGGCUCCAUCAAAGUCUUCCCUGUAUAAAUAUUAACUCAUCUUCAAAGAAGCGUGCAAAGACCAAAAUUGAACUAUCUACAGAGAAGGCAAGAGAAAUAAGCAUUGUGUACACCUAGGAUUCAAU